UACGGAGGGUGCAAACGUUGCUCGGAAUCAUUGGGCGUAAAGCGCACGUAGGCGGUCUUUUAAGUUGGGCGUGAAAUCCCUGAGCUCAACUCAGGAACUGCAUUUGAAACUGCCGGUCUAGAGUGGUGGAGAGGGAAGCGGAAUUCCUGGUGUAGAGGUGAAAUUCGUAGAUAUCAGGAGGAACACCGGUGGCGAAGGCGACUUCCUGGACACCAACUGACGCUGAGACGCGAAAGCGUGGGGAGCAAACAGG
rnacentral:rRNA from 1 species